GCUGGGCGUGGUGGCUCAUGCCUGUAAUCCUAGCACUUUGGGAGGCUGAGGUGGGUGGAUCACCUGAGGUCAGGAGUUCAAGACCAGCCUGGCCAUCAUGGUGAAACCCCACCUUUA
ensembl:misc_RNA Metazoa_SRP Metazoan signal recognition particle RNA